AGAGUUUGAUCCUGGCUCAGGACGAACGCUGGCGGCGUGCUUAACACAUGCAAGUCAAGGAGAACCCCAUCUUCGGAUGGUUAGUAAACUGGCGGACGGGUGAGUAACGCGUAGGCAACCUGCCCUUGUGCUUGGGAUAACUCCGAGAAAUCGGGGCUAAUACCGAAUGACAUUAUUUAAUCGCAUGGUUAGAUAAUUAAAGGUGUCGCAAGUUAUCGCACAGGGAUGGGCCUGCGUUCCAUUAGCUAGUUGGUAAGGUAAUGGCUUACCAAGGCUACGAUGGAUAGCUGAUCUGAGAGGGUGAUCAGCCACACUGGGACUGAGAUACGGCCCAGACUCCUACGGGAGGCAGCAGUGAGGAAUAUUGCGCAAUGGAGGAAACUCUGACGCAGCAACGCCGCGUGGGGGAUGAAGCACUAUGGCGUGUAAACCUCUGUAGGUUGGGAAGAACGACAUGUAUUCGUAAGGUUAUGUGUUUGACGGUACCAUCAAAGUAAGCUCCGGCUAACUCCGUGCCAGCAGCCGCGGUAAUACGGGGGGAGCAAGCGUUGUCCGGAAUUACUGGGCGUAAAGGGCGUGUAGGUGGUUAAAUAAGUCAGAUGUGAAAGCUCCCGGCUUAACCGGGAAACUGCAUUUGAAACUGUUUAGCUUGAGUGUGAGAGAGGGUAGCGGAAUUCCCAGUGUAGCGGUGAAAUGCGUAGAUAUUGGGAAGAACACCAGUAGCGAAGGCGGCUACCUGGCUCGCAACUGACGCUAAUGCGCGAAAGCGUGGGGAGCAAACAGGAUUAGAUACCCUGGUAGUCCACGCUGUAAACGAUGGGCACUAGGUGUUGGUUGGUCAUAGACUGAUCAGUGCCGGAGCAAACGCAUUAAGUGCCCCGCCUGGGGAGUACGAUCGCAAGGUUGAAGCUCAAAGGAAUUGACGGGGGCCCGCACAAGCGGUGGAGCAUGUGGUUUAAUUCGAUGCAACGCGAAGAACCUUACCGGGGUUUGACAUCAUAGCGGAAUUUGCAGAGAUGUAAAUGCCUUUCGGGGCGCUAUGACAGGUGCUGCAUGGCUGUCGUCAGCUCGUGUCGUGAGAUGUUGGGUUAAGUCCCGCAACGAGCGCAACCCUUGUCUCUAGUUACCAGCGAGUAAUGUCGGGGACUCUAGAGACUGCCGGUGACAAACUGGAGGAAGGUGGGGAUGACGUCAAGUCCUCAUGGCCCUUACAUCCCGGGCUACACACGUGCUACAAUGGCCGGUACAACGAGUCGCAAUACCGCGAGGUGGAGCCAAUCUCUAAAAACCGGUCUCAGUUCGGAUUGCAGUCUGCAACUCGACUGCAUGAAGCCGGAAUCGCUAGUAAUCGCGGAUCAGCAUGCCGCGGUGAAUACGUUCCCGGGCCUUGUACACACCGCCCGUCACGCCAUGGGAGUCGGCAGUACCCGAAGCCGGUUCAAUAAGAAUCGUCGAAGGUAAGGCUGGUGACUGGGGCGAAGUCGUAACAAGGUA
rnacentral:rRNA from 1 species